CACUAAUCUGGGCCCCCAAACAAAGCAAGCUACAACACACCACACUACUACCGACCACCGAGGCGACACUACGAGUGUGGGAAAAAAACAAACAUAUAUGUUGCUCACAAACCCCACAUUCUAGAACAAUGCCACUAUCUGCCAUACCCUCCAUAAUACCGAACUUUAACCACAAAAUAUGGGAACGACAUGGUAUACAUUACAUUCAUCAACUGUACCAAGAGAACCGCCUCCUAACAUUCACAGAGGUACAAAACCUCCAUGGACUUCCAACAGCAGCCCACUUCUCCCACAGGCAAUUUCACUCGUGGGUAACAAAACACCAAAGCGAAGUAAAGGUUACGUCCAACGAACCUCAACUAACAUGCUUUGAGAAAACCAUACUCAAACUGAUACCAACACAAAAAACCUUCUCAAUGCUAUACACCAACAUAUUGCAGCAUGAUACCGCAUUUAGAUACCCCUUCGUCAUAGCAUGGGAAAAAGACCUAGGACAAACCCUCCCCGAAGCAAUGUGGAGGAAGAUAUUCAUUACCCCCAAAAC